CCCAGCAUGGUGUAGUGGUUUGAGAGCAUUGGACUACAACUCUGGAGACCAAGGUUCGAUUCCCUGCUUUGCCA